rnacentral:lncRNA from 1 species
AGUGUUUUGACGACUGCCUCACUAAAGGAAGCUAAAAGCUGUGCUGAUGCCUCCCAGACGAGCCUCGUUGGAAGCACAGAACCUUCACGGCUCGGAGCCGCUGACACCGUGACAAAGGGAGCCCUGCUCAGGAGAAAGAGCAAAUGAGAGGCAGUUGCACUUUUUCAGGUGUCAGGCUGGAGGAAGCCACUUGAAGAUGAAUCUACCUCUGCCUUAGGAUUGCCUGAUGGCCUGUGCCAUUCCAUGUUAUAUCUACUGAUUUGCUCCCUGUAUUCAAAGAUUUUUUUUUUUUACUUAAUUCUCUCUUACUGACCCUGAGAGUGACCAUAUUUUUAACCAAUUUGGUCUUCAGCCUCAAAACUUAGCUCUUUCCUUUUGUGGUCCCCGAAUCCUAUCACGUGUCAUGGUGGCUGUGAAGAUGUUUGCCAAGCCUGCUGAGAAGGCUCAUCUGUGGCAUCCAAAAGCAGAGAUUUCAACUCUGGACCCCUGUGACCUGCCUUUGUAAUUAUGGAUACCCAGCACUGUUUUGAAAUAUCAGUGGACAUCCAGUUUUUAAAAGCCCUCAGAGCUUUGGGAGACACCCCUUUAUCUCUCUGGCAUGUCAGAGAACCGAUUCAACCCUUCUCAUCUCCUCCUCCUUCCCUCUCUUGGGCCAUCAGGAUGCGGCAGCAACUCACUGUGCAUGUUUUUACAGCUCUUCUCCAGUAAUGCUGCCAUUUCCACUGCAGACCACAGGAUAAAAGGACCGCUUCACCGUGGCCCAGGAUACCCUUUUAAGUAGGAGGCUCAGUUGGAUCUCCAAGUGGCGGUACCGUUCUCUCCACUUCAAAAAUACACAGAAACAUGUGGAAAUGUUCUGUCAUCCAGAAUGAAAAGCAUGUGCACCAAAUUUUCACAGACCUGAUUCGAAUGUAGAUAAAAGUGCAAAAUCCAGAGGAGGGAACACGCUAUAGAAAUCCUGUCUUCUAUACUAUAAUUUAAUCAUCGUGUGCCACAGAAUGUCUUUGCAUAAAUUACAACCACAAUAAUAGCAUCACUUUCACAAAAGGUGGCCUCUAAUCGAUUUGACUCUCCAAGAGAUGGCUGGGUUUUUCAAAGCAGAGAAAUGAUGACCUGCAGUCUUAAAGAGCUGUUGAUUGCACCUGGGGCUCCCGUGGCCGGCGCCCAUCGAGCAGCCCAUCCUGGCUGUUCCCUUGUUCAGCUGAUUUUCUUUUUUAUCUUGACAUUUGCUAACCGCUUGGUUUUUAUUUUCCGGGAAGAGAGGAUUAUUGGCAACUGGCACCACCCCCAUGUCUGGAGGAGGGACGUUUCUAGGAUGACCCCCAGAGUGGAGAAAUAGCCGAGGUAACCUUUUUGCUAUAAAUUUCUUCCCCUGCCUCCGUCUUCUGUUCCUUUCCUUCCCCCCAUCCCUUGAACAAACAUGAUUUUUAAAUUCCCCUCAUCAUUUUUAGUGCUUUGGAGUCUUCUCAGAUGUGGACGAAAACAGUUCGUGAGCUGCGCUGAGCAGUUCCGGAGCCCUGGCUCCCUUUCCCCGGGGCCUAAGCCCCCAAGAAGAGAGUCUUUUUCAGGACCAUGGGAGCAGGUUUUAAAAGGCUUUCUAUUGAAGCGAGGCCGUCAGCCAGCCGUGCGUGUCCGCAUUGUGGUGGUCCCAGAGCCUUAUGGACAAUCCUUUGAAAGAAUAGGGUUGGGAAGAUUCUCAGGACAGAAGCGGCUAAUUUCCAUCCUUGGAGCUUUAUCUCACAAAGGAUAUUUGAUAGAAAGAAAAAAUGGAGUCUGUGGAAGCUUUGCUCCUAUUUCCAAAUGGGUUGACUCUGGAUGCAAAGGAAUAUUUUCACAUUUUUCCCAAUAGAGGAAAGCUUUUAGUGCCAAAAUCCUCAAAGGAGAAUGAACAUCACACAUUACACAUGUAUGUAUAAGGGUAGAAUAAUAUGGUACAAAAUCCAGUGAGUACAAGCACACAAUGGGCAUUCAGUACAGGUUAAAUGAAUAUGCAAGAAAAAUUCAAAGUUGUUGUUGCUGUUUAUAAGGGUGGUGAUUAUUAAUAGAUGCAAAUGUAUACUCCCUUUUGUAAUCACAGCAAGGUAAAAGUCUUAUCUCUGAUCAUUACCAUGAGGACACUUAAAUAUUUAGCCCUGGGGACAAAAUGGUUUGUAGGCAGGACGUCCUGUGUGUUUAUGCACACAUAAAAUGCCGCCCUGGCCCCAGGACUGCAAGGCCUCUGACUGCAUCAUUUACAUUCAGGGGUGGUCCUGAUCAACAUGGCCCCAUAGAAUAAUAGAGGGAAUUUCAGAUAGUACAGCGUUAGAUAAUAAGCGCUUUCCACUGACUCUGUUUACAUGUGGAAAUUAGAAGCGCUGAGUGAAAAAGAGUAGUGAAAAUAAAGACAGGAAGUAUAUACACAACAAACAAUUUUUCCUCUCUGCAAAUCGGAUUAUUCCCUUGCGCACCCCCUGCAACCCCCAUCUAUGAUGUCAAACUCAAUGGACUGUUGAACUAAUAGCCUGGGAGUCACCAGCGUGAGAGUGUGUAUGUCCACGCUGUGCAACUUGAAUUAGGCUGGCCACCACGGCUGUGUACAGCUACCCCAGGAAGAGCCCCUCCCCUCCUCAGCAUUUCAGUGGAAAACGUGCUGACUGGGACCCAGCUACAGGAAUCACAUUUGGGCAGAGAGAAUGGCUUAUCCUUUUCAUGAGGGGUCUUGACUCAAGAACACUUGCCAAUUCUGCUUGACCGUUUCCCAUUCUUUACGGUUUUUCCUAUCACUCCUUAGACUAAGAAAGAAAAAUCUGUAGGAAUGAUUCGGUGGGAUUUCUCUUUUGUUCCUAAAUAAACCUUAUCCCUGGAUGAGCUCGUUCACACUAGGGAAGUUACUACCACUGGCUUUGAAGCCAGGCAGAUCUGGGUGUUCCUUCCCAUGUCUUUAUUUGCUUUGUGGGGGAUCUUUUCCCAGCCUUUCUGCUUUCAUCCUUCUUAGUGAGAGCUUCUUCAGCUGCAGAACAGGGGCAAUAAUGCCUACCUUGCUGGGUUGCAGCAGAGAAUGCUGCUUAUGCAGGAAAAUAAAAAAACACAUAGCACACAAUGGGAGCUUAAUACAUAAGAAUUAUAAACAGUCUUUUGUGUAUAUAUCAAUGUAUUUCAUGUCCUUAAUGUUUAUUUAAAGCAAGUACAUUCUUUUGAAUUAAGCAUAAAAAGGUCAUAAAAUGCCAGAGAUGUGCUUAUUUGAAAUGUUUGCAAUGCUUUGCAAUUGUUUUAAAAUAAGGAGAUGAUAUAACAGGGUGUUACCUCCGCCACUAAUUAGUUACGUAAUCUUAGAUUAUGUCACUUCCCUGGGUCUCAGUUGUAAACAGUUGCUUAAUAAAUAAUGUUUGUUUUGCUUUCAUCAAUAAUCCAGAAUUAGGCAGUGAAAUAUGGAAGCUACAUUGGUAGGAGCUUCUGUGAUGGUCAGGUCCUGGAGGAAAGUGUGAGUUGGAACCUCCACCUUCCUCCCUACCAACGCCCUCCAGAAACACUGCUCACUGGAUGCAGGGGCGCUUCUCCUGUUUCUAGUUCACUUGGUCUAGAGGCCAGCCAGGUAGGAGUCAUCCUGUUCUUGGAGGCAAUGUGGCCCAGACCCAGGCUCUAGCAGCAGGUCUGACUGCAGCACUUUCUCCCUCGGGGUGGCUCCCAGUCCCAGUGUGGUGGGCCCACCCUUCCUUACCACCAGGCGCCUCUCCUGGAAGCUGCGAAAACCUUCCCCCCUUUCAGGCACUGGGAAUCAGCAUUCUUUGGCGUAUGCCUGGAUUUGCCCCAGAAUUAUCCUGCAAAGUCUCUCCCCUCCUGACCUCAAAUGUUCCUGUCCCUACAACCAGACGGUAGACCCCAGGGCCUCCGGGGCUCCUUCCAGUGCCUCCUUGUCAUCUUUUGAAUCACAGCUCAUGAGGCAACCCACACAGGCAGGCUGGAGAGGAGUGGCAAGAAGCUCACCUUCGGACAGUAGUGAGCAGAGCAACAGAGGCCCCCAGAGACUUCGCACAACGGAAAAGAGAUCAACUCCCGCAUUUGCAGGGGACGUGAAAGUGCAAUACUGUGAGGAACAAAAGGAAGCCUCAUCUCUGGAAGCCGGGAGGAAAAACAGUCGGUGUAGACAGCAGCGGCAGGGACCAGAGCUGACCAGAAGGCUGGGUCCCAGCAACAAUUAGAGACAGGCAGCAGCUGAGGCCCCUUCUCUGAGAACCAUUUCAAUUGCACAGUGGCCACAGAAGGCUCCAUUGGCCCGGCAGCCAGCUCUGCAGAGCCAUUUGUCCACAAGGAAAAUAAUAGCCCCGGCCUCAUUGCUUUGGGCUGCAGGGAGGACAAUGACCCACCAUGAAAAGAGUUAAAAAGAUUCUGGGGAAGGGGAAAGGCAGGCCCACACGGUGGCAAUUCAAGAUCUUUUGGAUGCCGUGAGCGUGUUCUUUAAUUAAGCCCCUCUUCUUCAGCUCAUCCUGCAGAAACGCACCUGCUUCCCAUCUGCCAUCCAAAACGGCAAGCACAAGAAUGACUUCACACUGUCACUUUCAGAGUUCCGCUGUGGCCCACAGUGAUUUUUCAAGAAAGGCAGCCACAGACUCGCUCGCGCUUUCUCUUUCUCCUUUCCUCUGAAAGACUCUAUAAAAACCACAUUAAAAAGUGUGUGAGCCAAGCAAUUUCAUUUAUCAAAGGAAGAAGGUCAUCCAUAGCAUUCAUUCUAAGAAUAUCAGGCACACGGCCAGCCCUGGACACAAGGCAUGAAGACCAGAGGGCCCUUUAUUGACCUAAUCUCUAUUUUGUCGCCAAACUGCAUCUGUGUCUGAAAGCUGGGACACACAAUAUUUCCCUCUACCAAAAUAAUUUUAUUUUCUGCAGCAGCAUGUAACAAACAAUUAAUGGUGGUAACAUGGGCUUCUGUCAUUUUCUGAACAACCCAGUUCUGUUUGGUGUUACUGCAGUGGUUGUUAUUUUGGGUGGUUCUGUGCUUAUUCCAUUCUGCCAAUUGGUCCCAUUCGCAUGGGCGUGAGCCCGUGCCGUCAUCUACCACCUUGGAAUCCAUGUUAUUGCCAGAACUGUGUGGGGCCUUGCUUGAGGGCCUGUCCCCUGUCCUCUUCACAGAUGUUUCUGUGCCUUCAGGGAGAGGACUGAUUGUGCUGUCUCCCUCUCCCACCCGUGUCUGCUGUCUCCAAAACUAAGGGAGGCUGCGGUGAAACCAGCCUGGCCCAGGUUCCUCUGGUGCCUGCCGUGGCUCAAAUUAUCCAAACUACAGUGGCUGAUUCCCAGCGACCCAUCCCUUAGUGCCCUUGUGCCCCGUUGAAGAAGUGGCCCAUGUUAUGAAUAGGGAAGCUAAGGUCAUUAAGAAUUUGUGCAGGCGUACAAAGAAAGUGCAAGUCAGAGAUCCUUGUCUCAGCUACUUUGCUUGAAAAAUGACUCCAUGCUCUGAGAUGCUAUAAAUGGAGCAAACAGUGUGAAGUGGUUCUCCCCCUCCAAGAAACUGCCCCCUGAUGCGUUCCCCCAUUAGACACCUGCUCCUCCAAGCCUGGUCUUCUCUCUGCAACCACUUCCCCUAUGCCUCUCCCCACCCACCAUGCAUGACUCCUUGUCACACACAUGAUCUCUGGUCCUACCUUGCACUUGGUGCUGGGGGCUGUGAUUCCCUCUGCCUCUGUCUCCCCACAUCGUCCCUGACAUCACCUUUCACCGUGCACUGGUCUCGCUUCCUCGGGAACUCUAUGAAUGGCCUUGUUCUCUGAUUAUUUGAUUAUUCCAUUAUCAACCCAAAGCUCACUGGGUCUAUGGGGCUGAGAGGUCGUUUUUAUUACAUCAUUUUAAUUAUUCAGAUAAAAGACUCGCAGGCACAGAUUUAUCACCACUGCCUAAAGAAAAGCAGAGACACACAUAAUUCCAUUUUGAAAAUCCAUUCUUAAAAGCAAAAAUAUGAUUCAGUUGAAGGUAUUCAGAAAAAAAAAUGCUCAUUGAAAAACCCUGAUGAUUUUUAGCAUUUCAAAUAAAUUGUGUACAGUUACGGUCAUUUGUUAACUAUUUUGGAGACUGCGAGCUGAUCAUUAUCUCUCUUUUUCAGAUAACAAAAUGUAUCUACCUUCUCCCAGAGUGUAAACUAAUCUGGUGGCUGGAAAAAGCAAACAAACAAACAAAGAUCUGUUAAGAAAGAUCUGAUUUUUCAAAUGGCGCAUACCAUUCCUUGAAACAGAGGUGAUGAAUAGGUAGAGACAAAAGCAUCAAACAUCCAGGCAGGACCUGUUUAUCUCUGGGCAGAAAUCUGUUCAAUUCCAUGAUAAAACAAGGUUUGAAGUCAGGGAUUCAAUUUCACAAACUAAACAGACGUGUGCACACACAUGUGCACACUGUGCAUGUCCCAGUGCACACACGCAGAACCCAUUUCGUAGGGACACACAUGUGCACACUGCAUGCCCCAGUGCACACACGCACAACCCAUUUCGUAGGGACACACAUGUGCACACUGCAUGCCCCAGUGCACACACACACAACCCAUUUCAUAGGGACACACGUGCACACUGCAUGCCCCAGUGCACACACGCACAACCCAUUUCGUAGGGACACACAUGUGCACACUGCAUGCCCCAGUGCACACACGCACAACCCAUUUCGUAGGGACACACAUGUGCACACUGCAUGCCCCAAUGCACAGACACACAACCCAUUUUGUAGGGUCCUAGCAGAAUUUUCUCUGUAGGAAAAGCACUCAAUCUUGCUGAUUUGUGGCUGUUUCUCCGGUUUGCAUCAGGUUGGGCCUCAUGACACAGGACUGGCCUAAGCAUUAGGUCAGAGCUGGAAUAUGCCAAGUCUUCCCCAUCCCUUCUCCAUUCCCAGGGCUGAGUAGUGGUUAGAAGGGCGAGCACAACACACCCAGACACUUAUCCCCUCUAUGUCUUCUGCCUUUCCUCUUUCCCCUGUAGGUGUUUCUUCUUAGAGUAGCUUUUUAAUCAUGCUCACUGGUUGUCUGCUUCUUAAGACUGGCCAUGUUUCACAAUUCUUCCAAUUGCAUUACUUCCCCUAAGGCUCUCCCUUUUCCUGGAUAUCUCAUUGACACCUGUAUUAGAGUUUUCCAGAGAAACAGGACCAAUAGCAUAUAUAGGAAUAUGCAGAAAGAUAUUUAUGAUGAGAGAUUGGCUCAAGUAAUGGUGGAGACAGAGAAGUCCCACCGUCUGCCACCUGAGAGCUAGAGGCCCAGCAAAGCUGGUGGUGGUGUUCCAGUCCAGGCCCAAAGGCCUGAGAACCAGGAUCACUGACAUGCAAGGACAGAUGAAGAUGGAUGUCUCAGGUCAAGCAGAGAGGAAAUUCACCCAUCCUCUACCUUUUUGUUCUAUUCAAGCACUUAACAGAUUGCAUGGUGCCCAUCCACAUUGGUGAGGGUGAUCUUCUUUGCUCAGCUUACUGAAUCAAAUGCCAAACUCUUCCAGAAGGACCUUCACAGGUAUGCUCAGUAGGAAAGUUUUACCAGGUAUCUGGGCAUCCCUAAGACCAGUCACAUCAACUAAACCAUCACAACACCUAAGACUUGAAUUUCCAAUUGUCUUCUGGUGUUUGUAAAACACUGUUAGGGAGCUCAUCCCUCUCUGUUGAAUCCUGGACAGUUUCAAAGCCUGCUGGUCAGCUCUGUCCCAUUCUGCAGGCAUCACGACCUCCAACCAUCCAAAUAAAGUAAGUGUCCUUGCUUGCUCUACUUCUGAUCUGUCCUUCACAUCCUGCGUCUUCUCCAAAUUACCUAUGUGUAAUCUAUGGCAUUCUCACAAUUAGCCCAAACUGGCGAUCCAGUCCCUACACACACACACACAAACACAGACCCUAAAUUCCCUUAAUCUGUUUACUGAAUCUGCUUCUUCUUCUGCUGAAACAUUUCUGGAAUCCCCCUUUCCUCUCAUGCACCGCCAUUGCCCAAGUUUAGGUAUUCAUCAAUUCUUGCCAAUGUGAUUUCUAAUGCACCUAAUGGGUUUCUUAUAUCCAGGUACCCCCUUACUCUCCAGUCUGUCUUCCACUCUGCCCCUAGACUUGUUUUUCAUAUAUAAAGCUCUUAUUUUCCAGCACAUAUAAAAUAAGCUUCUUAGCAGGGCACUCGAGGCUUUGCAAAUGUGCUGUCAACCACUCCAUGCACCUGUGCAGAUUCCUAGUCGCUAUUCCCCUCUCUUCAACACUCAUGGCCCAUCCCCAAGAGGCUGCCUUCAGGCCUUUUCAUCUUUGCACAUGUCCCUCCACUAGGAAUGCCUUUCCUCUCCCAGGCUUGGCAAAGUACAUUUUCAAGGCCUCUUGUAGUGCUGUGCGCUGUAUGCUGCAGGUGAUAUGCCCCAUGCUUCAGGCAGUUUGGUCUUGUAAGUGCAAGUAAGGGGCUUAUCACAAGCCCUCUCACUUGCCUUGAACUCGGGAUGUCUGACCCUUUCUCAUGUGUAGCUUGGUGCAGGCUCAGAGUAGAAUGAGGUAGGUGGGCAGUGCUGAACAUGGAGAUGGUUCUGGGGAGCUUCUGUGUGACUAAUAUCGCAAGGCCUCAGAUAAAGCCCCCUGCAACCUCUCCUUUCCCUAACUGGUCUGAGCCAGGGGAAAUGGCAUCCUUGCCGUCAUCACUACCAUGCUGUGUUCCUAUUUGCUCCAAGGACACAAUCAGCAUCAUUACCCCAUUCUCCUCAAAGCACAUUCCAUUCAUUUUCUUCUUCAAGGCAGUGUUUUUUAUCCCCAUUCCACAAAUGAGGAGAUGAAGAUUCAGACAGAGCAAGAAAUUUUUCAAGGUAGCGAUUCACCCUCUGAUUCUCUGGACUAGAGUCAUCCUGUGGAAGCUCUGCCUCCCUCCUCUGGUCUCUCUCUUUCCCGCAUCCACUUUCCUCAAACACGUGUCACCUCUGUUUCAUUCUCUGGCCACCUACCCCCACCAUCCUUUCUUGGCUCAGAUCUGAAGUACUCCAGACUACCAGAUUACGUAAAAAUUCAAAGGCAUGAGAAAAUGGCAAGCAUGGAAACAAAUUCUUGGUAGAGAUGAGUGGCAACCUCAAAAAGAAGCCUCCUCUCCCCAUAAAUUCCUCAGUGCCCCAUCAAUCUCCAUCAAUCCAUACAAGACCAGCCUCACUCUGACCACCCGGGUCUUCCACAUACUAUUGUUUUCUGCAACUUGAACAAAAUAAUGGAUUGUAGUUGAUAUUCUCCAGGGGAUUUGACUACCCUCACAUAAAAUCUCUAGUUAAAAAGAGCUGAUUUAAGUCAUACAUACAAAAACAGCAUGAUAGCAUGCAAUGUUUAUCAAACCUGAGUGGAAAAGGAUUGCCUGGAAGGCUUUUUGAAAAUUGUAUCCAUUCUCAUCUCUACUGAUGGUGCCUGAGUAGGUCUGGGCAGAAUUCUUGGAGUGUCAGGGGAUUCCUGAAGGAGGUCAACAGGAAUCUCACUGGCGAAAGAAGAACUGACUUUGGAUUUAGACAGACCUUGGUUCAGACCUUACCUUUGCCAUAUGCAAACAUUAGAAUUUUGAAAGAAUUGCUCAUUUUAAUUUGACUUUUCAUUUCAUUUUGAAAAUAAAAACUUCCCUUUUCAUUUUAUUUUGACUUUCAGUUUUUUCUCUUAGAAAACAAAUCAAAAUGAAACCUACCUCAAGGCAUUGUUGCCAGACCCAAAUAAAAUCAAUUACAUUUCAUGAAAUAAAAUAAUCAUCCUAUGUUGGUUUUCAAAUAAAUGGAAAGUUGCUUUUUUCACGUCAGAGUGAAUAUUUUAUAAAAGUAUAAUUACACAUAAAGGAAAAUAUAAUACAUUGAGAAAGUGGUUGUUUUAUUUAGUUUGAGAAUUACAUGCUAUUAAUGUAUUUGUAUCAUUAGAAAUUUUGCAGAGAUCCCUACAGAAAAUAAUUAUAACAAUUUCCUUUUAUUUCAACUUCGACAAUGUGGUAGCAGGUAUCCUGAAGGUGCUGCCUCUGACACCUCCUGGAAAUUCUGUGUGCAUGACUAGAAGCAUUAUUUGAAUGCUUGGCUGAGUUCCGGAGAGGGACUCUGAGCAGCCAGAGGGAAGAACAAAGUGUCGGGAGAUACUGGGAGGACACAGGAAUGCAGGGGACAGGAAUGCUUUUCCAAUUUGUGCAUUGGGGAAUUGGGGGCAAUCACCACAGGAGACAAAAGUUGGGUGCUUGAAUCCUUGGGUCAGAAAUCAAAACUUACUCCCACCUUCUGCUCCACCUACCCAACUAAGCCUGGCCCUGGCUGGGCUACACCCUCACUGAAAAGUAUGCAAGAAAAAAACCUGCCUACUAGCUCAGAGGGCUGGAAUGAAUCCCAGGCUGUGUCUACGUGGGUGUCAGCGGGGAUUGAGUAAAAUACAGGCGGCGGGAACUUCCCUGAACAUUUGUUACCAUGGACCUAACUCAUAAAGGAUUAGGGCUGGAACUGAGAUUAUCAAGGUUGUGAACCUCUGGCGCACCUGCUGGAAACACAUGCAAACCACUCCUGAAAAAUGAACUCCCUGGCAUCCCCACACCCCAAAUUCAUGUGGAACAAGUAUGCUUAAAAUGCUUAAAGACGUUUUAAAAAGGAAACGUAGUUGUCAGAAAAGACAAAGGAUGCUUCAAAAUACAAGAUAGAUUUUAGAAAAAAAUCAAAUGGAACCCUUUAAAAAUGUAAUCGUUGAAAUUGGGAUAAUUCAAAUGAGAGGAACAGCACAUAUGAUGCCCAUGAAAAAAAGAAUUAAUGGGUGGUAGAAUAGAUUAGAAUAAUUUAUCCCAUAUUGAACAAAAAGAGAUACAGAGAUUUUACCUCAUAGUUUACCUGUUAGAAACCUCAUAGUUUACCUGUUAGAAACCUCAUAGGUUACCUGUUAUAAACCUACCUCUAAUUAGAGGACCAAAGAAAGAAAACAGAAAAAAGUGGAAGAGAACCAAUAUUCAUAGAAAUAAUAAAUAUUUUUUCCCACAACUUAUGAAAGAAUGGAGUCUGGAGAAUCAGGAAUCUUAGUAAGUCCUAAGAAAAAUAAGUCCUAUUGAGUACAUACCUAAACUCAUUACAGUGAAAUUACAUGCUACCCAAUACAAGACAUGAUUAAACACACACACACACACACACACACACACACACACACACACACACCCUGAGAUAAAACAGACUCCCAAUAAAGAAAAACAAAUUAGUCUGAUAGCAGACUUCUCAACAGUCAUCAGGGAGGCUGGGGUUUACCUUGACUGCUUAAAUUAAAGUCCAUUCCCAAGGACAUCUCAAAUGGCCAAGUAACCAGUCCCUGCUUGUUUAUAGAGUGUGGAAGUUGUUUAGAUUUGCUAUGGACCACCUCUCUACCUCCACCUCACUGAGCUCUGAGGCAAAUGGAUUCCCCUAUUGUAAACUAGGAAUGAGUGUCUGAAAGAAGCCUUUUCUGAUUCCCUGUAAAAGUUCAUUCAUCAGGAGGAAGGGGAGUCAUUCCAGCCUUCACUGCCUGUGGACGGCAACAACUUCACUGUGGAAGACGCCAGUAGAGUCUGGACACAGCUGACCGUAAUGUUUAUUCAAUCAAUGACUG